GUUGAAACACCAGUUGCCGUACGAUCACCGCAGUUAAGCAAUGUCGAGCCUCAUCAGCACCUAGAUGGGUAACCGCUUGGAAAUACCAGUCGCUGUAAG